CCUACGGGAGGCUGCAGUGGGGAAUAUUGCACAAUGGGGGGAACCCUGAUGCAGCAACGCCGCGUGGGUGAAGAAGUACUCCGGUAUGUAAAGCCCUGUCAGCAGGGAAGAAAAUGACGGUACGUGACCAAGAAGCCCCGGCUAAAUACGUGCCAGCAGCCGCGGUAAUACGGAGGGGGCAAGCGUUAUCCGGAUUUACUGGGUGUAAAGGGAGCGUAGACGGCAAGGCAAGUCUGGAGUGAAAGCCCGGGGGCCAACCACGGGCCUGCCUUUGAAACUGUGUUGCUGGAGUGCAGGAGGGGUAAGCGGAAUUCCUGGUGUAGCGGUGAAAUGCGUAGAUAUUAGGAGGAACACCGGUGGCGAAGGCGGCUUACUGGACUGUAACUGACGUUGAGGCUCGAAGGCGUGGGGAGCAAACAGGAUUAGAUACCCUGGUAGUC
rnacentral:rRNA from 1 species